rnacentral:rRNA from 1 species
GCUUACGGCCAUACCACCCUGAGCACGCCCGAUCUCAUCUGAUCUCGGAAGUUAAGCAGAGUCGGGCCUGGUUAGUACUUGGAUGGGAGACCGCCUGGGAAUACCAGAUGCUGUAAGCU